CUUCUACUCCCUCCGUCCGGAAAUAUUUGUCCUAGAAAUGAAUAAAAUAAAUGUAUCUAUAACUAAAAUAUGUCUAGAUACAUGCAUUUUUAGGACAAGUAUUUCUGAACGGAGGGAGUAUUAU
rnacentral:pre_miRNA from 1 species